CACGCGUAGGCGCGCUGCCUGCUUCUUCCCACGUGCACGCUCGUGCUUAUCUUCUGCCGUGUCUCACCUCAGCUUCAAAGGAGGAGGGACGCGGAGACCGUCAGAAGGCUGGGGUGCAAACACAUACAUGUACACGCGUGUUUGUGCGCGUCGAAUCGUCGACUGCGCUUUCAAUCUUUAGUCUCCCUUUUUAACUUGUCGUCUCUGAUCCGAGAGCAGAUCGCGCAGAGCCACGUGGCAUUCGCUCUUUCCUCAUCCCCCCGCCCCCCUCCCACGCGCCGCCUCUCUACCUCUUUGUUGCCGCAGCAGCACACGGUGGGCGGCGGCGAAGAAGGGAGAAACGCUGCGGUGCGGCUCAACGCACAAACUUCGACAGCUUUUAGGUGGAGGGCUGACAGCCCCAGUCAACACUCAUUAUGAACAAUAUCUGCCGUGUGUGUAUGCGCACCGGUGUGAGCAUGUGCAUCGACUUGCGUCUGUUCGCAGGCCGUACUUGGUCAUUCUCGCAGCGGAUGACUUCGCACUCGCCCUUUCACCAAAAGUCGCUCUCGCUCACCUGCUCGAGCACGCUGCACGGCCUGCGCUAUGCCUCUAGUCGCACCUUCCGCACGUCGGCGUCGACCUCGACUGCGAAGCGCAAGUGUAAGGGAUCCCCCACGACGUCGACUGGGCCCAGUCGCAGGACAGAGGCCGCGGCUUCUUCCAAAGAUGAAAACGCCGCUGACCUGUUCGCGGCGGAGGAGCAUCGGUUGACGGAGAAUGAUGUGCGGCUGGCCAUGCGCACGCUCAUGGCGUCGCACUUCAGCCUCGUCCAGCACGCCCGAAAACCGGAGAAGAUGCAGGUGGCAAAGGAGCGGGAGGCGAUCGAAGAAAAGCAUCAGGGUAGGCAACGGCGUCUCCUCGAGAAGGACGAGAACUCACUGCGACUACUCGGGGCGGACGGCAUGGUGAUAGGAGAAGGCAUCCUUCCGCUUUUGGCGGCAGCUAAGAGGAACCCCUACGACGCGACUAGCUCUCGCCGUGCCACGUCAUCGCCUGACAACGCUGCGUGGCGAGCGCUGAACCCGGUCGGUCUCGCAGCCUCACAAGCCGUCGCAUCUGCCUCGCUUCCGGGCGACGGCGAUGACGCCGACGCGCUGAGCGAGGCAGAGUACGCGUCUUUCCUCGCACGCUCUGGGGCGGCAUCGAUCGACGGUAGCAAAGCGGAGGAGACGGAGACGGACGCGUGGAAGUCGGCCACGCUGGCGACACUGAGCGUACCUGACCUCUCAGUCUACGACGCAGACCACGACUUCCGCAUCAACAGUGAGGAGUUGGUGCGAGGAGCAGGGAGUUACAGCUCCAGGGCGGCGCCGUUGAGUGCGGGCAGCGCCGCCGCGGUGCAGGCUGAGAGACCAGACGUGCCGACCGGCUUAGAUCCGUUGUCGACACGCCCAAGUUCAUCCAAGGCAGUUGCCGCGGCGAUGCAGCUUCAGCUGGAUGAAGACGAGGACACCGACUACACCGUCGCCGCCUUCAUGGACGACAAAGAUGAUCCGUUGGACUUGUGAUGGUGAGUCACUGCUGCUGCUGGUGCUGCGGCCAUAGUGUUUCGCACUCGAAAGGAAGGGUGCGCACCUCGCGAAGCAUCGAAAAGGUCUGUGCUGGCACGAUGGCGCUGAACUUUACUGUCUAUUUUUCUUCCGUGUCUCCUUGCAUCUCUGUAUGAGUGUACUGGGAAGGCUGCUUGUAGCAACGCAGCGGGAGCGCCGCGGUGAAGCCUCAGUCUGCUUGGCGAGCGUGCGUGGCGCAGUCGCUGGAUCGACGUACAGCCCUCUGACGGCCACACACGGCCUUGUGUAAGUCCACUUCUUCGCACAGCGUUAUGAACAGAAAAGAUGACACGUUGCCUGCUCGCUGCUUCCUUCCCUCUUUUCG
rnacentral:misc_RNA from 1 species